rnacentral:SRP_RNA from 1 species
GCCAGGCAUGGUAGCGCAUGCCUGUAAUCCAGUACUUUGGGAGGCAGAGACAGGAGGAUGGCUUGAGCCCAGGAAUUCGAGACCAGCCUGGGCAACACAGCAAGACCUUGUCUCUA